CCUACGGGUGACAGCAGUGGGGAAUAUUGCGCAAUGGGGGAAACCCUGAUGCAGCGACGCCGCGUGUGGGAAGACGGUCCUCUGGAUUGUAAACCACUGUCCCCAGGGACGAAGAUGACGGUACCUGGGGAGGAAGCUCCGGCUAACUACGUGCCAGCAGCCGCGGUAAUACGUAGGGAGCGAGCGUUCUCCGGAAUUACGGGGUGUAAGGGGAGCGUAGGCGGGACUGCAACAUGGGUGUAAAAUCUACCGGUUCAACCGGUAGCCGCACUCAAAACUGCAAGUCUUGAGUGAAGUAGAGGCAGGCGGAAUUCCUGGUGUAGCGGUGAAAUGCGUAGAUAUUAGGAGGAACACCAGUGGCGAAGGCGGCCUGCUGGGCUUUUACUGACGCUGAGGCUCGAAAGUGUGGGGAGCAAACAGGAUUAGAUACCCCUGUAGUC
rnacentral:rRNA from 1 species